rnacentral:lncRNA from 1 species
GCGCCUCUCCGUUCGAGGUAAUAAUAUAAUGGAGUUUACCGUGCCCCUCUAAUAGGCUGGUCCACGGAACCCCCUCUGCAGUAAAUAAUUAAUAUAUAAUCCACCAAUCAAUAAAAUUCAUUCUAGCAUGACGUGGCAAUUUAUCGCAACCUAGCCUCUCAAGGCUAAAUACACAGUAUAAAUAAUUCUAACACCAAAAUCAGUUUAGCCAUUCAUGCUCAUUUAUUGUCAUAAGCCAUUCAAUUCAAAACCAUAAAUUUGCAACACAAACUGGCAGUCUCCAAUUACUCUAUUUUCAAAACCAAUAUUCGAUUUUCCAGAAAAUUUAUAAAAUCAUUUUAUAAAAUCAUAAUUUCUCUUAAAACAUAGCAAUUUACCAUUUAAACCCAUUUUUCAUAAAAUCACACAGUUGUAUAAAACUACUCUAGAUAAUUAAGACGAUAAUAAGUUCACUCACUGUUCUAAGAGUCGAUGUACUCCUAAUCCCAGUCUCCAAGCACAAUCUUUGUACUUUUACUAGUGUACUUUGCUCACCACCUAUCCAAAAUGUACAAUACAUAAUUCACCACAUCAAUACUUGACCAUUAUAAAAUCAAUUCAGGCUCGGCAUAUAUGCAUGAUAUGAUAUACAACUUAUCCGACUACCACUUAAAUGCGGUGUUGACCUAAUUCGGCCUAUUAUCUUCAAUUUAACUCCAAAUCAAUUCUUCUCACUUUCUACACUCCAAUUAUAACUAAAUUACCUCCAUGACUGUGAAUGAGGUUCAAUUUAUCAGUCUCGGUAGCAAAUUACGAAAAUACCCCUAGUGGGUAAAAAUCGUAUUUUUGCUCCGAAAAUUUCCAUUAUUUUUCUAGGCUCAUAAUUCAUCAUUUCUUAACCAAUUCUCCUAAAAUGAAAAUCAAAUUUAUCCUCACUCAACACAUGAUAAAUUCGGCCAUUAAUGGUUGUGGGAGAAAAUAAGUUCUUUUCUUGUUGUUUUGUUUCUAAAUAUGCUAAACUAACUUAAAACACUAACAUAACUUAAAAUCAAAUUAAUCUAACAAGUUUCUCUCUCCUAACCCAUUUUUUCAGAAUUGAAUUCAUCAUAAUAACUCAAUAUUCAACUAUGAAAAUCAAGAACAAAAGCAUGGGUAAGCUAGGUAUCAAGGAGAACUAAAAAAAUUCUAACUUACCUAGCUUGUUUCCUUGCCUUCUUCACUUUUUCUUUGAAUUUUCCACCUAGGUUUUCUUGUUUUUCCCUUUGUUCUUCCUCUCUUUCUCUCUCUUCCUUGCUUGGCC